rnacentral:rRNA from 1 species
AGUGAACGCUGGCGGUAGGCCUAACACAUGCCAGUCGAACGGCAGCACAGUAAGAGCUUGCUCUUACGGGUGGCGAGUGGCGGACGGGUGAGGAAUACAUCGGAAUCUACUUUUUCGUGGGGGAUAACGUAGGGAAACUUACGCUAAUACCGCAUACGACCUACGGGUGAAAGCAGGGGAUCUUCCGACCUUGCGCGAUUGAAUGAGCCGAUGUCGGAUUAGCUAGUUGGCGGGGUAAAGGCCCACCAAGGCGACGAUCCGUAGCUGGUCUGAGAGGAUGAUCAGCCACACUGGAACUGAGACACGGUCCAGACUCCUACGGGAGGCAGCAGUGGGGAAUAUUGGACAAUGGGCGCAAGCCUGAUCCAGCCAUACCACGUGGGUGAAGAAGGCCUUCGGGUUGUAAAGCCCUUUUGUUGGGAAAGAAAAGCAGCAGGUUAAUACCCCGCUGUUCUGACGGUACCCAAAGAAUAAGCACCGGCUAACUUCGUG